rnacentral:rRNA from 1 species
GGUUAAAAAGCUCGUAGUUGGAUCUCGGCAAGUAGAGGGCGGUAUGCUUCGUAGCAUUACUGCCCUAUUACUUGUAGUUUUGCCAGAGGUUCCUGGGUGCUCUUAAUCGAGUGUCUAGGGAUGCUGGCAGGUUUACUUUGAAAAAAUUAGAGUGCUCAAAGCAGGCUAUUACGCUUGAAUAUUCGUGCAUGGAAUAAUAGAAUAGGAAGUUGUUUCUAUUUUGUUGGUUUUCGGAAAUCGACUUAAUGAUUAAUAGGGACAGUCGGGGGCAUUUGUAUUCAAACGACAGAGGUGAAAUUCUUGGACCGUUUGAAGACAAACUACUGCGAAAGCAUUUGCCAAGAAUGUUUUCAUUAAUCAAGAACGAAAGUUAGAGGUUCGAAGGCGAUUAGAUACCGCCCUAGUUCUAACCAUAAACGAUGCCAGCUAGCGAUCUGAGGACGUUUUCUUUGUAGACUCCUCAGGAAGCUUCCGGGAAACCAAAGCGUGUGGGUUCCGGGGGAAGUAUGGUUGCAAAGCUGAAACUUAAAGGAAUUGACGGAAGGGCACCACCAGGAGUGGAGCCUGCGGCUUAAUUUGACUCAACACGGGAAAUCUCACCAGGCCCGGACACUGGAAGGAUUGACAGAUUGAGAGCUCUU